AGUUCUCAAUCACGAUUCACAACAAUCACUCAAUCAGCAAGAAAUUUGCUGGACUUUCAAAUUAGCUACUCCUUCAGAUUUCGUCAAUCUUUAUGGCCACUAUAAGUAUCCUUGAAUUGAAUAGGUUUUCCAUCAUUCUCAAAAAUCAAGAAUAACCAAAAAAUAAAUAAAUUAAAAGUCUUUGUUCAUUUGCAGUUCUUCGCCUCUCGAUCAUGUCGGCAGCCGAAGACAUAUUCAUAGACCUUUCCCAUCAAGAAAAUGACCAGAACAUGGAGAUGAAUGGAAAUAACCCUGUUGAUGCAAAUGUUGCGAACAUGACAAACAUGGAUUCCAAUCAGGAGAUGAAUGGAGAUAACCCUGAUGAUUUAGGGGUUUCAUACGGAAAGAAAUCAAGAAGGAAGGUAUCAAAGGUAUAGGAUGAAUUCACUAUACUAGAAAUUGGUGGUUGUAAGAAAGUGAGAUGCAAACAUUGUAAGGCCAUUUUUAAGUUCAGUGAAACUGGACCACUACACAGUAUAAGAGACACCUAGUCAUAUGUCCUAAGCAUAAGGUGUCGAUUCCUGGACAACCACAAUUAAAUAUGCAAACAACCACCCCUAGAUUUGACUCUCUUAGUACUAUUAGGCCCUGGAAAUAUGAUCAGGCAAAGAUUAGAGAACUUAUGUCUCAUAUGGUAAUGGUUCAUGAAUUACCCUUCAUAUUUGCUGAAUAUGAGUUGUUUAAUAUGUUGAUGAAACAAGCUUCCCCUGAUUUUAAAAAGGUGUCUCGUACUACUCUAAAAAGUGACUGUGAAACUAGUUAUGAAAUUGAGAAAAAAAAAAAGGGUUGUUUCUCUUUUAAAAUGUCCUAAAAGGGUUUCUAUCACAACUGAUAUUUGGAGAUCUGGUCAAAAACUUGAGUACAUGGUUGUUACUUGUCAUUUUGUGCAUAGUUGGACUUUGCACAAGAGGGUUAUAAACUUUGUUAAAGUGCCUCCUCCUCACAAUGGAGUUGUUGUUUCUGAUUCCCUCUAUAAAUGCUUAGAGGAAUGGGGUUUAGAGAAAAAAUUGGCUAGUGUUACAAUGGACAAUGCUUCUUAUAACGAUGUUGUAGUGAAGAGGUUAAAAGAAAGUCUUUCUUACUUGGGGACAUUGCCAUUUGACGGAAAACUAUUUCAUGUCCGUUGUUGUGCACACAUAUUAAAUAUACUAGUACAAAAUGGGUUGUCUGAGAUGUAGAGUGUGAUUCAUAAUGUGAGGGAAAGUGUAAAGCAUAUUUCUGCCACACCUUUGAGGAUCCAAAUGUUUGGGGAGAUGGCUAAACAAAUGCGUUUGCCGUCCAAAAAGUUAAUAUUGGAUUGUUGUACUAGAUGGAACUCAACGUUUCAAAUGUUGCGUUGUGCUUUAGAGUUCAAAGACCAGAGGCUGGGAGCUCUGAUGGCACACGUUUAGGGUGGCUUGUUUUGAUCGGAUUGGCCGGUUUGGUUUGGAAUGGAUUGUGAAUCGGAUUAAAUAGUUAUAGUUUCAAGAGAAAGAUUCAUCUUACAAAACUAAUCUAUCAAGUUAUGAUUGGAAGAUGGUUCAAAAGGUUUGCUCUUUCCUUGAGAUUUUCAACGACAUCACUCUUAUUAUUUCAGGUUGUGAAUACCCUACAUCCAACUUAUUUCUUCCUGAGCUUACAAUAGUCAAGGGAUGAGAAUUCAAAAUCUGAUGAUGAUGAUAUGAAGAGAAUGGCUCUCAAAAUGAAAAGAAAAUUUGAUAAAUAUUGGGGUGACCUUAAUUUGUUGAUUUUUGUGGCUGCUGCAAUGGAUCCUAGGAACAAGUUGAAACUAAUUGAGUUCUCUUUUCGUUCUCUUUAUGAUGAUUUUGAAGCAAGUGAGCAUAUAUAUUAUGUUAAAGAAACCUUGUAUGACAUUUAUAAAGAAUAUGUUGAUACUUUUUCUCAUGAAAAUGUCAUAAGGGGUGAGCAAGUUGAUGGUGUGGUUAAUUCUGAGAACACCGGAGCAUCUAGAUCUGAUGUGGGUGCAAAUUAAAGGGGGUAACUAGUGGAAGAAAGAAAUUUGAUAGUUUUAUUAGGAGUGUUGAUGUAGUUGAGUCCUUGAAAUCUGAGCUUGAUAUUUAUUUGGAGGAAGGUGUUUUUAUUUGCAAUGAGAAUGAGGCAGAGUAUUUUGAUCCCUUAGAAUGGUGGAAAGCAUAUAACUUGAUAUUUUGGAUUUUAUCGAGGAUGGCUUGUGAUAUCCUUGCAAUUCCAAUCACGUCAGUUGCUUCCGAAUCAACAUUUAGUGUUGUGGUCGUGUUAUAGAGCCACAUAGAGCUUCCCUUGGUGCUGAGACUGUGCAGAUGUUGUUAUGUGGGGAAGAUUGGCUAAGAAACUUCUAUGGGAUCCAUAAAAAAAAAAAAGGUAUGACAUUGUUCUUCUUUAAAUUAUUUGUUUACAUAGUGUUUUAAGUUAAUUAUUUAACUAUUGAACGACUAAUUGGUUGUUCUAUACCACAUUUUUUUAUAUGGAAAUGAGGAUGGAUCGAAGGAAAUAAGUAUUCCUUGAACAUGAUAUACUGCUAAUCUGCUAUCCAAGGUUCAAAUAUUCAGGAAAACAGCAAUAAAGGCUUAAGGCAGGAGCCAAUCUACUUUUUUCUGUUUUUUUUUUUUUUUUUAUUUGUUUCGUUCAAAGAAUUUAAGUAUUGUUAGUUUUCUAGAUUACUUUAGUUUUUAAUUAAUAUGCAAUUUGUAAUAGACAAGCAGACUAUCAUUUGCAAAUUGUAAUUGCCGACUAAAUUUUGAUAUUAAAUUUUUUGAUGAUUUUUACCUA